CUCCGCUAACACAGGCCUCCAACGUGCGCCAAAGGGACUGACUUACCAUUCCUUGGGCAUCUUCUGAAAUGGCUGAUGCCCCUAUAGAGAAAUACUUGCCAUGUUGUCAUGUAUGGCAACCUUUUCCCUAAGAUAAGAAAUUAAUUUGGUGUCCGUGUCUGCAGCUUUGCCUUAUCUCCCACUACCCGUUGACCAGAGUCAUUGGACACCGUAUUGCACCAUCAAGGCUGCAGAUAAGGAGCGGCAAUCUUAUGCCUGUACAUCUGUCUCCAAGACGGUGCAGUCCCCAGCACACACACACUGUGGCACUGCAUUUGGUCUUUCCUCCAUCUAACAG
rnacentral:lncRNA from 1 species